rnacentral:rRNA from 1 species
GACGAACGCUGGCGGCGCGCCUAACACAUGCAAGUCGAACGAGCGAGCGAGAGCUUGCUUUCUCAAGCGAGUGGCGAACGGGUGAGUAACGCGUGAGGAACCUGCCUCAAAGAGGGGGACAACAGUUGGAAACGACUGCUAAUACCGCAUAAGCCCACGACCCGGCAUCGGGUCGAGGGAAAAGGAGCAAUCCGCUUUGAGAUGGCCUCGCGUCCGAUUUGCUUGUUAGUGUGGUAACGGCCCACCAAGGCGACGAUCGGUAGCCGGACUGAGAGGUUGAACGGCCACAUUGGGACUGAGACACGGCACAGAAUCCUACGGGAGGCAGCAGUGGGGAAUAUAGCACAAUGGGGGAAAGCCUGAUGAAGCGACGACGCGUGGAGGAAGAAGGUCUUCGGAUUGUAAACUCCUGUUGUUGAGGAAGAUAAUGACGGUACUCAACAAGGAAGUGACGGCUAACUACGUG